rnacentral:ribozyme from 1 species
GAAAAAGAGAAAAGAAAAAGAAAAGAAAUAACUUGGAUGGAGGAAGGGGAAAGACGACCAUCUCUUGUUCUUUUUUUUUUUUU